rnacentral:rRNA from 1 species
GACGAACGCUGGCGGCGUGCCUAAUACAUGCAAGUAGAACGCUGAAGGAGGAGCUUGCUUCUCUGGAUGAGUUGCGAACGGGUGAGUAACGCGUAGGUAACCUGCCUGGUAGCGGGGGAUAACUAUUGGAAACGAUAGCUAAUACCGCAUAAUAGCAGUUGUUGCAUGACAACUGUUUGAAAGGUGCAAAUGCAUCACUACCAGAUGGACCUGCGUUGUAUUAGCUAGUUGGUGGGGUAAAGGCUCACCAAGGCGACGAUACAUAGCCGACCUGAGAGGGUGAUCGGCCACACUGGGACUGAGACACGGCCCAGACUCCUACGGGAGGCAGCAGGAGGGAAUCGUCGGCAAGGGACGGAAGUCUGACCGAGCAACGCCGCGUGAGGGAAGAAGGUUUUCGGAUCGUAAAGCUCGGUUGUAAGAGAAGAACGAGUGUGAGAGUGGAAAGUUCACACUGUGACGGUAUCUUACCAGAAAGGGACGGCUAACUACGUG